UGGCUCAGGAUGAACGCUAGCGACAGGCCUAACACAUGCAAGUCGAGGGGCAGCACAAGGAGCAAUCUGAGGUGGCGACCGGCGCACGGGUGAGUAACACGUAUGCAACCUGCCUGUAAGCGGGGAAUAACCCGUUGAAAGACGGACUAAUACCGCAUAAUACUAAAUUACUGCAUGGUAAUUUAUUUAAACAUUUAUGGCUUACAGAUGGGCAUGCGCAUGAUUAGCUAGUUGGAGAGGUAACGGCUCCCCAAGGCAACGAUCAUUAGGGGUUCUGAGAGGAAGGUCCCCCACACUGGUACUGAGACACGGACCAGACUCCUACGGGAGGCAGCAGUGAGGAAUAUUGGUCAAUGGACGAGAGUCUGAACCAGCCAAGUCGCGUGCAGGAAGAAAUGUCCUAUGGAUUGUAAACUGCUUUUGCAGGGGAAUAAAGUGCAUCACGUGUGAUGUUUUGUAUGUACUCUGCGAAUAAGGAUCGGCUAACUCCGUGCCAGCCGCGGC
rnacentral:rRNA from 1 species